CCCACCCCAACCCCGCCCUCCCAAGACGACGAGCUAAAACAGUGACUAAAAGCACAGUGGCAGAAAAGAAAAAGCAGAAGAAUGAAUCACGAAGAUGGCACUGAUCCUUGGCUUUCUCAAAGGCCGGAAACGCCACCUUGGGAUGCAGCGGAGUACAAUCAACUCAUUUCUUCAGGGCCAUUGCUGCCACUACUAGACCACUACGCGGGCAUCGGUACGAUGCAUGAUAAACAAAGAAGAAACAAUUGCCAUGUUCGUGACAAUGAAGAUGUCAUUCUACUUAUGUCCUACAAUCUAUUUUUAGCAGGUUCUUAUGACCAAACCACAAUCAGGGGGGCAACAUGGCAAGUUUCGUCACAGGGCGCUAACGCUGACAAAUGUACGGGCAACCAACUUCAGCUAGCUAAUGUGGCAAAUCAAGGACCUUCAUGCAGCACGUGGCAUCAGGC